UACGUAGGGUCCGAGCGUUGUCCGGAAUUACUGGGCGUAAAGAGCUCGUAGGUGGUUUGUCGCGUUGUCCGUGAAAACUCACAGCUCAACUGUGGGCGUGCGGGCGAUACGGGCAGACUGGAGUACUGCAGGGGAGACUGGAAUUCCUGGUGUAGCGGUGGAAUGCGCAGAUAUCAGGAGGAACACCGGUGGCGAAGGCGGGUCUCUGGGCCUGUUCUGACGCUGAGGCGCGAAAGCUAGGGGAGCGAACAGG
rnacentral:rRNA from 1 species